AAAUUAUUUAAAUAUUUAAAUUAAAUUAGUAUUAGUUAUGAUCUUAAAAAUUAAAAAUUUUGGCGGUAUUUUAGUCUAUUCAGAGGAAUCUGUUCUAUAAAUGAUACUCCACGAUUAAAUUAACUUAUUUUAAUUAGUUUGUAUAUCAUCGUGAAAAAUAUUUUAUAAGAAGUAAAUAUUUAAAAAUUUUAAUUAGAAAAUAAAUCAGAUCAAGGUGCAGUUUAUAAAUAAGAAGAAAUGGGUUACAUUAAAAUUAUAUUUAUGGAUAUAAAUAUUAAAAAUUUUUUGAAAUUGGAUUUGACAGUAAUUUUUACAUAAAAUAUUAAUGAUGAUAGCUCUAAAAUAUGU
rnacentral:rRNA from 1 species